rnacentral:lncRNA from 1 species
ACCAGGCUUAUAGGAAGUGGGCGGGGCCUGCACAGCUACCUUUGUGAUCUCAUGAGGCUCAACAAUGCCUUCUUGGCCAGACACAGGCAGGCCGGGUGUGGGAAAUCCAACAGGAAAACUCAGCUCCCUGUGGGCCCCGCCACACACUGGAAGCAGACCCAGUGGCCCACCCACCAUGCAGUUUGGCUGUGGGACUCCCUUCCCCUGACAGCUUCCAGAAUUCGAGAGCUGAAGACACUUCCCCCGCUCUGUGAUGUCUCUGCAGGCCCCAGUUCCCAUGCAGGUCAUCUGUUGCCACCUCUUUCAGCGCUGCUGCCUAAAGCCUCCACCUCCCUCUUCAGUCACCAAUCCCAGGCUCUACUGAGUGCCGACAGGGCCCUGCUGCUCCCAAGAUGGAGCAGGAGGCACAUGGUGGGCUCCAGGGUUCCCCCUGAGGCCAGGCCCUUCUCUGUGCUGGAAGCAGGCUGCUGUCCAGAAGAGCCCUGAAAAACAGGUCAGGCACAGCUAUCUCUUUGGAAAGAUGAGGUUGUUACCUGCUGUUUGAGAAACCAAGACAUGGGGGACACACCAGCCUUUAUCAGCACAGGACUGACCAGUGCUCAUCAUUCUGCAGAAGGCCAGCAGCACUUGCCCACACUGCUUCUGGAAGCCCCGACUGGGGGCAGUAAGGACGGGGCCAGAGUUAGAUGCUUCAACUAAGGAAGCUGUUUGACAGCAUAGAGAAGUUGCCUUCCUUGCAAGCAGCCUUUCUGAAGAUGUUACCAAAUGUUUGUUUCCUAGGCAGUAGUUUGGGUAGGGCACUCAAGAAGAGAGGCUAUGGUGUGCAGGGAAGAGAGGGGCACAGGCCUCAACUGGUGGCAGUGCGAGGCUCUGGGGGGAGUGCGUUCGGUGCCCUCUCCUUGCCUGCCCAGGCAGCAGCCAGGUUGGACUCGGCUCUGUGUCCACAGCUCUUAGGGUUAGAGAAUGAAGGCUCCAAGCUCCCCCUGCCUCACCCCCUCUCCCUCAAGCCUUUCUUGCCUCUGUCAUCCAUGAGGUGCCCUCACAGCAACUGAGGCUAUAGCUGUUUUGAGAUGGCCAACUCAAGUCGUGUUGAACUGUGCAGACACAGCUGGCCAGGAGAAGCACCUUGACAGACGAAACACCCGAACAGGACCAGAGGCGUUCUCCCUACUUACCUAGAGGCCUUGCUAUUGGGUGGCUGAUCUGUAUGACAUUUCCCAAAUUGACUUCAGUGCAGAAACUUUGCCCACUCUUCCUGGCAGUCUCUUUAAGCCACUGCAUCACGUAUUUCUCUGGUGCCUUUAACAGCCUUCUGUGAGCUGAAUAUCAGUUCUACUUCGUUUUGGAGAUGGGGGUAAAAAUUGUCUUACAUGGUAAGCACUAAAUACAUUUAUGAACCAUCUUUUAAAUACAUAAAUAUAAGAUAACGGUUAUUUACGGUGUCUCUGGCUCUCUAGUAUUGGGUCAUAGUAUUAGAAAGUAUAGGUCCUCUGCAGGCAGCUCGGGGUGGUGGGUUCCGAGUUGGGGGAUAAGCAACCCCGCUAACCCUCUUGCUGGACGUCUGUGACCUCACUGACAAACCUCAUCUUGAACUGAAGGAAAAAACCCUAGAAUUUAAGCCUCUUUAUGAAUGUGAGGUGGGGCCCAAAGAUGAGGGGCAGAGAGCUGAGCUGCUGUGGAUGGCCUCUUUUCAUGUUAUCUGGACAGUGUCCACUGGGUGGCCCACAUGGCCACAAUCCCUGAACCCACAGCAGGGAUGCCAUCCCCUCUUCACAGCUCCCACGUCACAGUCUGUGCUGUUUGCCCAGGAAGGUUAGUCAAGGGGCAGAGGGAUAGGGAAGAGGAAUAAGCCCAGGCAGGUGCAGGAGAGAACAAUGAUGAUCAAGAAGAGUGAACUCUGGGGAGGGGAGUUACAGACACAGCUUUCCAGGUCCCGGGACCCACAUCACUCCAGCCUCCCUUGGUCUCAAGCCCUCCCCUGGUGUGCUGCCUUCAGCCUGAGGAUCUCCACCUGGCUUCUGACAGGGCCCAGCUCCAGCUGCUGCAGAGUAUCUCUGACUUGAGUGGCUCCAUCCUAGUGUCUGUGCCCUGGGUACUGUGGGCUGCCAGCCUCUGUGGGCACCUGCAGUCGCUUUGGCACUGCACAGAGCCACAGUUCUGAUGCUCGGCUGUGACUGCCCCUGGGCUGGAGGCUGGAAGCUGUGGCGCUGCCCUGACGGACUGUGGUGGCAAGACCAUGUCCAGUGACUCAGGGUACUUAGGUAAAGAGGCUGCAAAAAGCUGAGGGCUCCUGAGGGAAGAAGUGUCGGGACCCUUUUCUCAAGGUUUCCCACACUUUUCGUUUUGGUGGUAAAGAAGGAGGGAUUCACCUUCAGGCUCUUCCCAACGAGGGAGUAUAGCACCAGUGUGAGGGCAGGAACAGUGUGUCCAUUUGGCCCACCAGGAGGCAGGGAGGAGCCAUGGCUGGGGAGGGCAGAGUGUUCCAGAAAAAUGCCCUGCCCUCCCAUUGAUUCGGCCUUAGGUGGGGCCUAGAUCUCUGUUACCUCCCCAAGUGUUUGGUGUUUCCCUUCUGAGCUCAGCAAAGUCAGUAUCAUCUCCCUGUCCGAGCAUUGAGGGUGAGCCACGUGAAGCUGGUGCCACGAGACCUCUGUCACCUGUGCCUUUCCACUUGGUGGGCUACUGGACUGCUGGGGUUCAUGGAACGGUCUCUCCAACACUGCAGCAUGUGUGCACUGGGUCUGAGGCCAGUGUGAGUGCUGCUAAUGAUUCUGGGUCACUAUUAGAAAGCCUGGCUUUUGAAACAAUUUCCAAAGUUGAGGGGUUUUUUUCUUCCUCCUUAAACAACAUUUAGUUUUGACCCCAGAGGUUAUGGCAGUGUGAAUAAUCCUCUCCCUUCCUGCAGAACCUGACAUCUGGUUACCUUUCUAGUUUUGUCUGGAAACCAGAUAAAAGUAUGUCAGCUGUUUCAGUGCAGCACUACUUAUGGUAAACAUGAUUCCUAAUUGUAAAUUAUCUGCACUUGGAGUUUUCUGUGUGAACUAUAAACACUUGUUAAAAAGCCAUAAUGUUGGGCUUCCUAUGUGUAAUGACUCAGUUGGGUAUGUGGCUUAUGGGGUCCCUGAAAGCUGUGCCUCUUGAGUUGUUCAAAGAGAUAUGAGCACCUUUGGGGAAUGAUGCCUCUAAGCCACAGUGAACCAACCCCCUUCUCCCUCAUGUGUCUCAUUCCUUUGUACCUGAGCUGUCACCUGGGCAACCAAGGAGAAUAACUCCCAUGACCGAUAGAUGACUGGAGGCUCUGCGAGGACUGCCCUCCUCCCCUGAAGAGGGCUGCUUCCUGCUGCCCUGCAGCCAGGCCAUUUCCUGUCUGACAGCCUUCAAAGUAAAUGCCACGCCCAGCGUAGCCUGCAGGGAUCUUGAGUCUGAAUGGUUGCUGGAUCUGAGACAAAGGCCCACGGGAGGGAGUUGCAGGCAGUAGGACGUGUUGUACCCCUUAACAGCUAUGGAAUUAACCUCUGUAAGCACCUGUGAGAUGGGGAAACAGUAGUUACACUAUAGGACUGUUCUGAGUUUUCAAUGGGAUACUGUACAAAAACAACUCAGCACAGUGAGUUCUCAAAACAGUGCUCAGUAGGAAGUUAUAUACUCUUGACGAAAAGAGGGUAAGGUGGGGUGGGUGCCCAGCUUUGCAGCAUGUCUGGCCUGCCUACAUAUGCCAGUGUCACCUUCAGUCCCUGUGUCUUGAGGCUCACAUCUAGAAGUUUGUUGUUAGGGUUCAGCAAGGUACUUAUUGGGAAUACCCUGAAUGAAUAGCACAGUCUACAAGAUCCCAGUGUUGGCUGGGUGUGGUGGCUCAGGCCUGUAAUCCCAGCACUUUGCGAAGCCAAGGCAGGCGGAUCACUUGAGGUCAGGAGUUCGAGACCAGCCUGGCCAACAUGGUGAAACUCUACUAAAAA